GCUUAACACAUGCAAGUCGAGGGGCAGCAUGGUCUUAGCUUGCUAAGGCCGAUGGCGACCGGCGCACGGGUGAGUAACACGUAUCCAACCUGCCGUCUACUCUUGGACAGCCUUCUGAAAGGAAGAUUAAUACAAGAUGGCAUCAUGAGUCCGCAUGUUCACAUGAUUAAAGGUAUUCCGGUAGACGAUGGGGAUGCGUUCCAUUAGAUAGUAGGCGGGGUAACGGCCCACCUAGUCUUCGAUGGAUAGGGGUUCUGAGAGGAAGGUCCCCCACAUUGGAACUGAGACACGGUCCAAACUCCUACGGGAGGCAGCAGUGAGGAAUAUUGGUCAAUGGGCGCAGGCCUGAACCAGCCAAGUAGCGUGAAGGAUGACUGCCCUAUGGGUUGUAAACUUCUUUUAUAAAGGAAUAAAGUCGGGUAUGGAUACCCGUUUGCAUGUACUUUAUGAAUAAGGAUCGGCUAACUCCGUGCCAGCAGCCGCGGUAAUACGGAGGAUCCGAGCGUUAUCCGGAUUUAUUGGGUUUAAAGGGAGCGUAGAUGGAUGUUUAAGUCAGUUGUGAAAGUUUGCGGCUCAACCGUAAAAUUGCAGUUGAUACUGGAUAUCUUGAGUGCAGUUGAGGCAGGCGGAAUUCGUGGUGUAGCGGUGAAAUGCUUAGAUAUCACGAAGAACUCCGAUUGCGAAGGCAGCCUGCUAAGCUGCAACUGACAUUGAGGCUCGAAAGUGUGGGUAUCAAACAGGAUUAGAUACCCUGGUAGUCCACACGGUAAACGAUGAAUACUCGCUGUUUGCGAUAUACGGCAAGCGGCCAAGCGAAAGCGUUAAGUAUUCCACCUGGGGAGUACGCCGGCAACGGUGAAACUCAAAGGAAUUGACGGGGGCCCGCACAAGCGGAGGAACAUGUGGUUUAAUUCGAUGAUACGCGAGGAACCUUACCCGGGCUUAAAUUGCAGAUGAAUUACGGUGAAAGCCGUAAGCCGCAAGGCAUCUGUGAAGGUGCUGCAUGGUUGUCGUCAGCUCGUGCCGUGAGAUGUCGGCUUAAGUGCCAUAACGAGCGCAACCCUUGUUGUCAGUUACUAACAGGUUCCGCUGAGGACUCUGACAAGACUGCCAUCGUAAGAUGUGAGGAAGGUGGGGAUGACGUCAAAUCAGCACGGCCCUUACGUCCGGGGCUACACACGUGUUACAAUGGGGGGUACAGAGGGCCGCUACCACGCGAGUGGAUGCCAAUCCCAAAAACCUCUCUCAGUUCGGACUGGAGUCUGCAACCCGACUCCACGAAGCUGGAUUCGCUAGUAAUCGCGCAUCAGCCACGGCGCGGUGAAUACGUUCCCGGGCCUUGUACACACCGCCCGUCAAGCCAUGGGAGCCGGGGGUACCUGAAGUGCGUAACCGCGAGGAGCGCCCUAGGGUAAAACUGGUGACAGGGGCUAAGU
rnacentral:rRNA from 1 species